UGAGUGACAUGCUGGACAGAAAGGGACCGGUAGAAAUUUUAAGUUGAGUAUGAUAAUUCAUUUAAGUUGCUUAGUCAGAAAGAAAAUGGUAAAUAAAUUGUCGUGCUUAAUUUAAAUAUUAUAUGUAAUUUUUUUCUGUUAGCAUGACGCUUGCAUAAAUAAAAAAAAGUUGAGUUAUAGAAAAAUUUUUCUGUCAAUGUCUCUUUUUUUUACUUCCCUUCAAUGUUAUUUAAAAACCUACACUUUACUCUCUUAAAAAAUAGAAAAAUAUUCACUUAAUAAAAAUCGCCGCCAGUGUUCCAUUAGGAUUCUGUUUAUAUCCUAUUUUUUAUAUCAAAAAUAUCCCUGAAAUCCUCCGCCGUGCCAUCUUGCCCUCUGUCGCUCCGCCUUGCCCUCGCCUACCUCUCUGUCCAUGCUCAUACACAUGCCCUCGCCCGCCUCCACCGCUCACUCUCGCUCUCGCCCUCGCUCACCUCUCCGUCCACGCCCAUCAUGAAGAAGAUGAAGGGCAAUUGGUCAUUUUGUUACAGUGUACUCUUGUGAAUAUUUUUUAUUUUUUUAAAAAAAAUUUCUGUAAUUUAGCUAAAAAAAAUCUAUUUCUGUAAAAUUAUAUUUUAUU
rnacentral:lncRNA from 1 species